CUGACUCUAAGCACCUCUGAUUAGAUGUCAUUCUAUGUCUGGGAUGAUCUCAGGACUAUGGUAUUGUCCUCUUGUGCUAUCAAUUUUAACUCACAAAUGGAUGUCGAUGUCAUUUAUUCUCUUAUUCUACAGACCUUCAUUGGCUACAUGGGUAGUAUGGGCAAGAGAUAGGUGGUCCUGACGGAGGAGUGGGAAGAGCCAGUGCUCUGGAGUGGGAUUACUUUCUGGCUGCCUGCUCAGGAAAGUUGUUUCACCAUUCUCAACCUCAGUUUCCACAUCUGUAAUAUAUGGAAAUUAAUUUCUACCUCAUAGGAUUGUUGUAAGUAUUAAAUGAGAUAUUAUUGUAAUGCUUAAUUAAAUGAGAUAAUAUAUUUAAAAAUAUAAUUCCCCUAGAUAUAAUACAUAUGUAUACAUAAUAUAUACAUAUAAUACAUAUGUAUACAUAACAUAUACGUAUAAUACGUAUGUAUACAUAAUCUAUGCAUAUAAUACAUAUGUAUACAUAAUCUGUGCGUAUAUAAUACAUAUGUAUACAUAAUCUGUGCGUAUAUAAUACAUAUGUAUACAUAAGCUGUGCAUAUAUAAUACAUAUGUAUACAUAAGCUGUGCGUAUAUAAUACAUAUGUAUACAUAAGCUGUGCGUAUAGAAUACAUAUGUAUACAUAAGCUGUGCGUAUAGAAUACAUAUGUAUACAUAAUCUGUGCGUAUAGAAUACAUAUGUAUACAUAAUCUGUGCGUAUAGAAUACAUAUGUAUACAUAAUCUGUGCGUAUAUAAUACAUAUGUAUACAUAAGCUGUGCGUAUAGAAUACAUAUGUAUACAUAAGCUGUGCGUAUAUAAUACAUAUGUAUACAUAAGCUGUGCGUAUAGAAUACAUAUGUAUACAUAAUCUGUGCGUAUAGAAUAUGUAUACAUAAGCUGUGCGUAUAUAAUACAUAUGUAUACAUAAGCUGUGCGUAUAUAAUACAUAUGUAUACAUAAGCUGUGCGUAUAUAAUACAUAUGUAUACAUAAGCUGUGCGUAUAUAAUACAUAUGUAUACAUAAGCUGUGCGUAUAGAAUACAUAUGUAUACAUAAGCUGUGCGUAUAUAAUACAUAUGUAUACAUAACCUGUGCAUAUAUAAUACAUAUGUAUACAUAAUCUGUACAUAUAUAAUACAUAUGUAUAUAUAAAGGGAUUGGUAACCAAAUCUCUAUAUAAUAUUAUAUCUCUGUUACGGGAGUGGGGCAGGGAAGUGCUGGAUAGAGAAGGGCAGGGUCCUUGGCAAAAGCUCCAACUUCAGGCCUGUGCCCACAGACCUAAGUGAGAAGAUGCGCUCCUGUUUUCAAGCCUGAAUGUUGCAUUUUCCAAGACCACUGUGGCCUGCCACACUCCCCAUCCUGUGUCCAUACAAACCUGAGACCUUAGAGGGCACACCCACAAGUGGCUGCACAUUGAGACCAGCAGACCAGCAGACCAGCAGACUAGAAGACCAGCAGACCAGCAGACCAGCAGACUAGCAGACCAGCAGACCAGUGAUGGUGGAACAAUGCAGCAGAAAAAGAGAGAAAAGGAGAGACGUCUGGACACCGAGGGGAGUUCAGCCUGAGGUGGUUGGAGAAGAGUCCGCUCACUGGGCCCAACUCCAGAGGAAACCACAUUCCCACUCCAUCCCCCUUUCUGGCUCCCCAUCCAUCUUGCUGAGAGCCACCUCCAUCACUCAAUAAAACCUUGCUCUCAUCCUUCAA
rnacentral:lncRNA from 1 species